UACGAGGGGGGCGAGCGUUGUUCGGAAUUAUUGGGCGUAAAGGGUGCGUAGGCGGUUUGGUAAGUCUUGUGUGAAAUCUCCAGGCUCAACUUGGAGUCUGCACGAGAAACUGCCGGGCUUGAGUGUGGGAGAGGUGAGUGGAAUUCCUGGUGUAGCGGUGAAAUGCGUAGAUAUCAGGAGGAACACCUGUGGCGAAAGCGGCUCACUGGACCACAACUGACGCUGAGACACGAAAGCGUGGGUAGCAAAAGGG
rnacentral:rRNA from 1 species